rnacentral:ncRNA from 1 species
GGUUCACACACCAGUGAUUAAAAGGGAAACGGGUGAGAAUCCCGUACAGUCCCGCUGCUGUGAGCUACCCUUAGCAAGGCUGACAAAGAAAGCCACUGGCACAGUUUUUACGCCGGGAAGGCCGUUGGUUCUUGAGGUAGCGAAGUCAGAAGACCUGCCGUCGGCAU